rnacentral:rRNA from 1 species
CGAUUACACGCAAUCAAUACAACUUUCAACAACGGAUCUCUUGGCUCUCGCAUCGAUGAAGAACGCAGCGAAAUGCGAUACGUAAUGUGAAUUGCAGAAUUCAGUGAAUCAUCGAAUCUUUGAACGCACCUUGCGCCCCUUGGCAUUCCGAGGGGCACACCCGUUUGAGUGUCGUGAAAUUCUCAAAAACCCUUCCUUUGGUGGAAAGGAUUUUGGACUUGGAGGCCUUUUGCUGGUUUCACCUCGAAGCGAGCUCCUCCCAAAUGGAUUAGUGGGGUCUGCUUUGCCGAUCCUAGACGUGAUAAGAUGUUUCUACGUCUUGGGUUUCUGCACUGUACCUCUGCUUCUAACCGUCUCAUUGACAAUGAUGGUGUUCCGGUCACUGCCGAUUCAUCGGUGGGAGGCUUGAC